GAUGAACGCUGGCGGCGUGCCUAAUACAUGCAAGUCGAGCGAACCACUUCGGUGGUGAGCGGCGAACGGGUGAGUAACACGUAGGAAUCUACCUAGUAGUGGGGGAUAGCUCGGGGAAACUCGAAUUAAUACCGCAUACGACCUACGGGUGAAAGGGGGCGCAAGCUCUUGCUAUUAGAUGAGCCUAAAUCAGAUUAGCUAGUUGGUGGGGUAAAGGCCUACCAAGGCGACGAUCUGUAACUGGUCUGAGAGGAUGAUCAGUCACACCGGAACUGAGACACGGUCCGGACUCCUACGGGAGGCAGCAGUGGGGAAUAUUGGACAAUGGGGGCAACCCUGAUCCAGCCAUGCCGCGUGUGUGAAGAAGGCCUUUUGGUUGUAAAGCACUUUAAGCAGGGAGGAGAGGCUAAUGGUUAAUACCCAUUAGAUUAGACGUUACCUGCAGAAUAAGCACCGGCUAACUCUGUGCCAGCAGCCCGCGGUAAAAUAGCGUACU
rnacentral:rRNA from 1 species